rnacentral:rRNA from 1 species
CCUACGGGUGGCAGCAGUGAGGAAUAUUGGUCAAUGGGCGCUAGCCUGAACCAGCCAAGUAGCGUGAAGGAUGACUGCCCUAUGGGUUGUAAACUUCUUUUAUAUAGGAAUAAAGUGAAGUACGUGUCCUGUUUUGCAUGUACCUUAUGAAUAAGGAUCGGCUAACUCCGUGCCAGCAGCCGCGGUAAUACGGAGGAUCCGAGCGUUAUCCGGAUUUAUUGGGUUUAAAGGGAGCGUAGGCGGGUUGUUAAGUCAGUUGUGAAAGUUUGCGGCUCAACCGUAAAAUUGCAAUUGAUACUGGCAGCCUUGAGUACAGUAGAGGUAGGCGGAAUUCGUGGUGUAGCGGUGAAAUGCUUAGAUAUCACGAAGAACUCCGAUUGCGAAGGCAGCCUGCUAGACUGUCACUGACGUUGAUGCUCGAAAGUGUGGGUAUCAAACAGGAUUAGAGACCCGGGUAGUC